rnacentral:rRNA from 1 species
UGCAUAUCAAUAAGCGGAGGAAAAGAAACCAACAGGGAUUGCCUUAGUAACGGCGAGUGAAGCGGCAAAAGCUCAAUUUGAAAUCGCUUCGGCGAGUUGUAAGUAAAGUGGUUAGACGCUUUUUAAUAAGUCCCUUGGAACAGGGCGCCAUAGAGGGUGAUAGCCCCGUAUUAAAUUGUCUAGUGUGCUACUUUAGAGCGAGUCGAGUUGUUUGGGAAUGCAGCUCAAAUAGGUGGUAAACUCCAUCUAAAGCUAAAUAUUGCUGGGAGACCGAUAGCGAACAAGUACAGUGAUGGAAAGAUGAAAAGCACUUUGAAAAGAGAGUGAAAUAGCGUGUGAAAUUGUUGGAGGGGAAGGCGAUGGUAGGAAUAAGAGGCUGCGGUUUGAAAUAAAUGUUUUUCGGGCCACGGUCUCCUGAGCCUGCUUUCGCACCCGUCUUGAAACACGGA